UCCUAGUGGCGAACGGGUGAGUAACGCGUAGGCAACCUGCCCUCCGGCCGGGGACAACAGUCCGAAAGGGGUGCUAAUACCGGAUACGAAGUCUGUGCCGCAUGGUACGGAUUUGAAAGAUGGCCUCUAUUUAUAAGCUAUCGCCGGGGGAUGGGCCUGCGUCCGAUUAGCUGGUUGGUGGGGUAACGGCCUACCAAGGCGACGAUCGGUAGCCGGUCUGAGAGGAUGAACGGCCACAUUGGGACUGAGACACGGCCCAGACUCCUACGGGAGGCAGCAGUGGGGAAUCUUCCGCAAUGGGCGCAAGCCUGACGGAGCAACGCCGCGUGAGUGAGGAAGUUCUUCGGAACGUAAAGCUCUGUUGUUCCUGACGAACCUCCCCUUUAUCAACAACGGAGGGGACUGACGGUAGGGAACGAGGAAGCCACGGCUAACUACGUGCCAGCAGCUGC
rnacentral:rRNA from 1 species